rnacentral:piRNA from 1 species
UGGUUUAUCUGUGUCAUUGGUCAAAGUU